rnacentral:rRNA from 1 species
UAAUACGUAGGGACCAAGCGUUGUUCGGAUUUACUGGGCGUAAAGGGCGCGUAGGCGGCAAUUCAAGUCAGCUGUGAAAUCUCCGGGCUUAACUCGGAACGGUCAGCUGAUACUGCUUUGCUAGAGUGCAGAAGGGGCAAUCGGAAUUCUUGGUGUAGCGGUGAAAUGCGUAGAUAUCAAGAGGAACACCUGAGGUGAAGACGGGUUGCUGGGCUGACACUGACGCUGAGGCGCGAAAGCUAGGGUAGCAAACGGGAUUAGAUACCCCGGUAGUCCUAGCCCUAAACGAUGAAUACUUGGUGUCUGGAGUUUUUAUCCUCCGGGUGCCGUCGCUAACGUUUUAAGUAUUCCGCCUGGGGAGUACGCACGCAAGUGUG